UUCGUGAAACUUACAGGGCAUGCUAAAACCCACUUGACCGUUUCUUCUCCUCCCCAAACUCCGGUUUUCAUUUCCUGCAAUUCUCCAGUUUCGCAGUUUGCUUCUAAAACAGACUCAAAGUUUGUGAAAGGUUUUAGUUGAUAAACCAAAGCAUGUUUUACUCACUGUGCCUCUUAUCAAGAAAAGGGCGUUUAGGCUCCAUAUGAGCUGCUGCUUAUUGUUUCAAAAAGCUCAAGAAGGCCCAGGUCACUGAAACUGACAUCUCAGCCUCUAUUGAUAAAAUUUUGAAGGAUGAUUGGGAUGUCAUCGCAUAUAGGGUACUGGCCUACCUUCUUCUUGGUGUUGUUCGGAUAUACUCCAAAAAAGUUGAAUACCUUUUUGAUGUCUGCCAUGAGGUGCUAACUGAAAUCAACAAGUUUGUCGUUAGCACAAAAGAGAAGGGAGACACAGAUACGUUUCUUGCACCUUAGGACUCUGUUACUCUACCGGAGAGGUUUGAACUUGAUGCAUUUGAUUAGGGGAUCCCUGAAGAUGUCAGUGGGGGAAAUGUAGUAUCCUACGAAGCUAUCACGCUUAAAGUGUACUUUCAUUUGACGGGAUGGAAUUGGAUAUGGAGUUAAGGACGUCGAGGAUUGGAGCUAACCCAGAAGUAAACAUGGAGAAUCCUCAAGAGAGUAGGUUCUCUCAAGAAGAAAGUAAUGGAGAACAGAUAAAGGUUCCGGAUAUAGCAUUGUCUGAAGAUGGGACUCUAAUAGAAGCAAGGCAGGAAAAGAGGAAAAAGGUCUGAACCAUUUGGUGAAGAUCACGAAACCAAUGGGGAGCAAAUAAACGCUCCUGCUGUAGUCCAAUCUGUUGAUGGAAUUCAAGAAGAAGCAAGCAUGGAACUUCCUGUCAUGUUACAUCAUCUAGUGAAAGUCACCACAUUAUUCGAGAGGAGAUUAUCAUGCAAUCAGAAAACCAGAUGUGUCCAGUUACAAGAGAAGACCACAAUCUAAGCAACUUGAAAGCCGACAGGGGAAACCUGACAAGUUGUACAUACACCUGCUCAAGAAGAGAACUGAUAAGUCUUGUGACUUAAAGAAACCUCAAAAAACCUGUUUGUUCAUAUGAGGAAGAGACAACAAAGUUACAGGACACGAUUGUUUGUUCAUAAGGAUGGAGAGCCAACAAAGUUACAGGACACGAUUCCACCAGA